CACAAACUCACUCUGCCCAAACCAAACGCAGCGGGAAGAACUGAAGACUCGCUCUAGGGGUGGAAUUCUCCUCAGAGGAGGGUUCUACUGAGAAGGACACAGUCGGAUGGCAAGUUUCGAGAUAUAGCCAUGGAUGGCCUAGAACUCACAGAAAUCCACCUGCCUCUGCCUCCUGAGUAUUGGGAUUAGAGGUGCAUGUCACUGCGCUUGGGCAAGAUUAAGUGUUAAAGCAAUAAUGAUGAUGAUGAUAAUUCAUCAUCAUCAUCAUCAUCAUCAUCAUCAUCAUCAUCCCAG